rnacentral:rRNA from 1 species
GGUUGAUCCUGCCAGUAGUCAUAUGCUUGUCUUAAAGAUUAAGCCAUGCAUGUCUAAGUAUAAGCAUUUAUACGGCGAAACUGCGAAUGGCUCAUUAAAUCAGUUAUAGUUCAUUUGAUAAUACCUCUUAUCUACUUGGAUAACCGUAGUAAUUCUAGAGCUAAUACAUGCUAAAGACCCCGACUUUUGGGAAGGGGUGCAUUUGUUAGAUACAAAACCAAUACGGCGGGGCAACUCGUCGGUAACGUGGUGAUUCAUGACAACUUUGCGAAUCGCAUGGCCUUUGUGCCGG